rnacentral:lncRNA from 1 species
GUAGGUUUAUUGUAAAACAAUAAAUUUAAAAACACAAUAUAACAAAUGUUAAACUUGGCCAAAGAGAUUUCGAAUAUUACAAAUCUGGCCAUCCUUUCGUUCUACCGUCUGAGAAAGAAGGGACCAGUUUUCAAUGUCAUUGACGAACACUACAUCACUGUCUUCAUGAAUCCCCGAUACCAGUCAUAAUCAGCACACUGUAACCUCUCACAGUUUAAUGAGAUAUUAGUUUUUCCGCUCUUUUUGAAAUAUUAGUAUGCUAAUUCAUGAGUUUUAUCAAUUUUUUAUGCGCAACAGCCUUUAUUGUCAUUGUAAAACAUCCCGAUAGAUUAACAAAUCUUCAUUCAAUCAGCUGCAACUCAAUAAUUCACGUGAACUGGGCAAUUGUAGGGCCAGCUGGAGGUUUUGCUGAGCGUCGGAAAAAUAUUAUUAGUGGCAGGGCCGCCGAAAGAAAUUUUCGGGCCCGUGACAAGUCUCUUGUCCGGGCCCCACUGAAAAAAG